UGAGUACGAGCUGCUACGGCAGCGAAGUGGGUGAUGUCAAGCUUCCAAGAAAAGCCCUAUACCCGUUAAGGCAUGAUGGCCUGUACCCGAAACCGACACAGGUGGGGUGGUAGAGAAUACCGAGGGGCGCGAGGUAACUCUCUCUAAGGAACUCGGCAAAAUGGCCCCGUAACUUCGGGAGAAGGGGUGCCACCGCAAGGUGGUCGCAGUGAAGAGGCCCAGGCGACUGUUUACCAAAAACACAGGUCUCCGCUAAGUCGCAAGACGAUGUAUGGGGGCUGACGCCUGCCCAGUGCCGGAAGGUUAAGGAAGCUGGUCAGCGCAAGCGAAGCUGGCGACUGAAGCCCCGGUGAACGGCGGCCGUAACUAUAACGGUCCUAAGGUAGCGAAAUUCCUUGUCGGGUAAGUUCCGACCCGCACGAAAGGCGUAACGAUCUGGGCGCUGUCUCGGAGAGAGGCUCGGCGAAAUAGAAUUGUCUGUGAAGAUGCGGACUACGUGCACCCGGACAGAAAGACCCUAUGAAGCUUUACUGUAGCUUGGUAUUGUGCCCGGGCUCUGAAUGCGCAGGAUAGGUGGGAGGCUUUGAUCCAUUGCUUGUGGGUGAUGGUGAGCCACUGGUGAGAUACCACUCUUUCAGAGCUAGGGUUCUAACGGUCACCCGUUAUCCGGGGACCGGACAGUAUCAGGUGGGCAGUUUUGACUGGGGCGGUCGCCUCCUAAAAGGUAACGGAGGCGCGCAAAGGUUCCCUCAGGCUGGUUGGAAAUCAGCCGACGAGUGUAAAGGCAGAAGGGAGCUUGACUGUGAGACCUACAAGUCGAACAGGGACGAAAGUCGGCCUUAGUGAUCCGACGGUUCUGAGUGGAAGGGCCGUCGCUCAACGGAUAAAAGUUACUCUAGGAUAACAGGCUGAUCUCCCCCAAGAGUUCACAUCGACGGGGAGGUUUGGCACCUCGAUGUCGGCUCAUCGCAACCUGGGGCUGAAGUCGGUCCCAAGGGUUGGGCUGUUCGCCCAUUAAAGCGGUACGCGAGCUGGGUUCAGAACGUCGUGAGACAGUUCGGUCCAUAUCCGGUGCACGCGCAGGAACAUUGAGAGGAUUUCUCCCUAGUACGAGAGGACCGGGAGGAACGCACCUCUGGUGUACCAGUUAUCGUGCCAACGGUAAACGCUGGGUAGCCAUGUGCGGAGUGGAUAACCGCUGAAAGCAUCUAAGUGGGAAGCCCACCUCAAGAUGAGUGUUCCCAUGGCAUAAGCCAGUAAGGUCACGGGAAGAACACCCGUUGAUAGGCUCUACGUGGAAGCGUGGCAACACGUGAAGCGGAGGAGUACUAAUAGACCGAGGGC
rnacentral:rRNA from 1 species